AGGCUGAUAGCUCAAUUUGGUAGAGCGUAGUGCUCAUAACACUCUGAUUAAUGGUUCAAAUCCAUUUCAGCCUA
rfam:Sphaeroforma arctica JP610 cont1.15534, whole genome shotgun sequence.